rnacentral:rRNA from 1 species
CCAAUAGCGUAUAUUAAAGUUGUUGCAGUUAAAAAGCUCGUAGUUGAAUUUCGGGAUUGACACAUCGGUCGUGCCUUAAGGGGUAUGAACUGGUGUAGUCAAUUUCUCACCUUCUGGAGAACCGCAAUGCCCUUAAUUGGGUGUCGCGGGGAACCAGGACCUUUACUUUGAAAAAAUUAGAGUGUUUAAAGCAGGCAUUUUGCUUGAAUACAUUAGCAUG